rnacentral:tRNA from 1 species
GGGCCGGUUUUACCGACUCAGCCGGUUUUUAAGCCCUUUGCCGUCAAUAAUUUUGCAUUUCACCACUUCCAUGGCAUGGAAGUGGUCGUCGGUUCGAUCCCGACCAGGUCCACCA